rnacentral:rRNA from 1 species
CCUAGCAGUCGGACGAUGAAGCCCUUACGGGGUGGAUUAGUGGCGAACGGGUGAGUAACACGUGAGCAACCUGCCCUUGACUCUGGGAUAAGCCUGGGAAACUGGGUCUAAUACCGGAUACUACUUCCUGCCGCAUGGUGGGGGGUGGAAAGCCUUGUGCGGUCUUGGAUGGGCUCGCGGCCUAUCAGCUUGUUGGUGGGGUAAUGGCCUACCAAGGCGACGACGGGUAGCCGGCCUGAGAGGGUGACCGGCCACACUGGGACUGAGACACGGCCCAGACUCCUACGGGAGGCAGCAGUGGGGAAUAUUGCACAAUGGGCGCAAGCCUGAUGCAGCGACGCCGCGUGGGGGAUGACGGCCUUCGGGUUGUAAACCCCUUUCGGCAGGGAACAAGCCUUUCGGUGAG